CAUACAUAAAGAGAAGCUACAAGUCUAACUACAAGGUUAGACCUUUUUUUGGCCCCUGAAGUGAAAAUAAGAGGCAAAAAGGGAAUAAUGAAUCUGAAACUUGCAUGCAGCAGGGCAGUGGGAUUUCUUCUGAAGGGAAUCAAGAAGGUGAAUGGCAAAUAAAGUCAAGUUUUGAUCCAUUAAUUUGAAUACCUAUGAAGAUCAUGGACCAAAGUUUAUAUUGUGGUUAAAAGACAAGACAGAGCUUGUGUAAGGAAUUAAAUGAGAUUAUUCACAGAAUCAGUUCUCUACACCAGUGAGUGUUCUGCUUUUAAUGAAGCAGAGAAAUCAGGAGCCUAUUCAGCAGCAAAGUCAGUCACUGGUAAGAAAUAAGGGGAGUGUAAUGCAACAAAGUCGAGG